AAUAUUGGACAAUGGGGGCAACCCUGAUCCAGCCAUGCCGCGUGAGUGAUGAAGGCCUUCGGGUUGUAAAGCUCUUUUGGCGGGGACGAUGAUGACGGUACCCGCAGAAUAAGCCCCGGCUAACUUCGUGCCAGCAGCCGCGGUAAGACGAAGGGGGCAAGCGUUGUUCGGAAUUACUGGGCGUAAAGCGCGUGUAGGUGGUCAUUCUAGUCAGGCGUGAAAGCCUCGAGCUCAACUCGAGAAAUGCGCUUGAUACUGGAUGACUAGAGGACCGGAGAGGAUAGUGGAAUUCCCAGUGUAGUGGUGAAAUACGUAGAGAUUGGGAAGAACACCAGUGGCGAAGGCGGCUAUCUGGACGGUUUCUGACACUAAGACGCGAAAGCGUGGGGAGCAAAC
rnacentral:rRNA from 1 species